rnacentral:lncRNA from 1 species
AUUUUCCCCAAUUGUAGUGAUCAUUUUCAAAUCUGUCAGUCCGGGCUUCCAGCCAGGAUGGGGGUUCUCUAAUAUUGCCACUGAUUUUUUGGUAUCCAAGGCUGGUAGAUGGCAUUCACAGACCACUCACCUCUCCCAGCUGCAGCCACCCAGCUCCUCCCUGGUCCACCAGCAUCCUGGGAAUCACCUGGAACCUAAUGGAGAAGUGGACAGCACUCCCAGCCCCACCAACUUCCCGGCCUUGUGGAUAUCUCCGGAUAAAAGGGAACUCCCUUUCAUGUGAUUGAGGACACGCUACUCUUCCUUGGAUACAUCACAGUUGCUAAUUGCCUCUUAGCGCUUAGCCCUCCACUUUCAAAUCGGGAAGGUACUCCAUGGAUUCAGCUGCCUGGGAAUCCCUCUUGUCCAUGAGUAUGACUAUGUCAUGGGUUCUCAAGUUGGACUGAGAAUCUUCUGUGGAUUUUAUAAGAAACGCAGAUCCCUGGGCUUAAUCCCAGGCCUACUGAAUAAGUACUGCUUAUGAAUGGAGCCCGGUGAUCUGCAUUUUAACAAGCUCUCCAGCCAUAUCUGAUGCAUGGAAACGUCUGAGACCCAUUGGCUUACGAGGGUCUUGUUCUAUUGCCCAAGUUAUAGUUCAGUGGCUCAAUCAUAGCUCACUGCAGCCUCGAACUCAUGGGCUCAAGCUUUACUCCCAUCUCAGCCUCCCAAAGUGCUGAGAUUAUAGGCAUGAGCUGCCACACCCAGCCAAACAUGCUCUUGUGUGAAUAGGAGAGAUGCUCCUAAGGGCUGCUGAGUGGAAUGAGCUCACUGUGCAGCACACGUGCUUGAUGAAGAUAUCACGGACUUUGGAGUCACGCAAACUUGGGUUUGGCCAUUUGCAACCUGCCUUAUUUUGGGAAAAUUAAACCAGCUCUGUAAACCUGAGGUUCCUUAUCCAUAAAAUGGGCAUAAAACUAGCCACUCCACAAAGUAUGAAUGAGAUCACGUGUAAAAUACUCAUCACAGGCCUGGCAAAUAGUAUGUACUACAAAUAUGGAGGUGUAGUGAACCGAAGAGGAAGAAGGAAGUCAUGCAAUGCAUUUUCUUUUUCCUAGUUGUUGGGGACUGAAUGUGGUCCCCCUCAGAUUAAUAUGUUGAAUUUCAACCCCCAGUAUCUCAGAAUGUGACUGUUUGGGAGACAGGGUCUUUAAAGAGGUAAUUAAGGUCAAAUGAAGACAUUGGGGUGGACACUAACCUAUAUGACUGAUGUCAGAAGGAGAGGAGAUUAAGGCACAGUGAGAUAGAAGGAAGACCAUGUGAAGACACAGGGAGAAGAUGGCCUUCUAUAAGCCAAGGAGAGAGGCCUCAGAAGAAACCGGCCCUACUGGUACCUUGAUUUCCAACUUAUAGCCUCCAGGACUGUGACAAAAUAAGUUUCUGUUGUUUAAAUCACCUGGGUUGCAGUACUUUGUUACAGCAGUCCAAACAAAUGAAUACAACAAUUUUGCCACUCCUGAACUUAUGUUAUUUUGUUCUGUUUACUAAAUAUAUCUAUUAAAUGUAUAACUAAUUAUGGUUUAAUGUAUAUCUCAUGUGGUUUCUCUCUCUAUCAGACCAUGUGUGCUCAUUAUUAGUUUAGAAACUGUGGCCACACAUCUAAUGUGAAGAGUACCGCAUAAUCAGGAAUUCAGUAAGCAUCCUGCUGAGGCUGUAUUCUCUGUACUUCCCUCUCGUCCUCUCUCCCCAUGAGGCAACUUUGAGUAUAUUGCUCCCAAAGGUGUGCCAAGCUUGCAUUUGAACUUGGCUUUAUGUGAAAACAGAAUAUUCUUGUACUCCUUUGGAUUUAAGACGUUAGGCAACCGAGGAGUAUUCUCAAAGGAGGAUAGAAUGCCUAUAA